rnacentral:rRNA from 1 species
GACGAACGCUGGCGGCGUGCUUAACACAUGCAAGUCGAACGGUAAGGCCCUUCGGGGUACACGAGUGGCGAACGGGUGAGUAACACGUGGGUGAUCUGCCCUGCACUUCGGGAUAAGCCUGGGGAAACUGGGUCUAAUACCGGAUAGGACUCCGGACUGCAUGGUCUGGGGUGGAAAGCUUUUGCGGUGUGGGAGGGGCCCGCGGCCUAUCGGCUUGUUGGUGGGGUGAUGGCCUACCAAGGCGACGACGGGUAGCCGGCCUGAGAGGGUGACCGGCCACACUGGGACUGGGAUACGGCCCAGACUCCUACGGGAGGCAGCAGUGGGGAAUAUUGCACAAUGGGCGCAAGACUGAUGCAGCGACGCCGCGUGAGGGAUGACGGCCUUCGGGUUGUAAACCUCUUUCAGCAUCGACGAAGCGAAAGUGACGGUAGGUGCAGAAGAAGGACCGGCCAACUACGUGCCAGCAGCCGCAGUAA